rnacentral:rRNA from 1 species
GAUGAACGCUGGCGGCGUGCUUAACACAUGCAAGUCGAACGGAAAGGCCGAAGCUUGCCUCGGUACUCGAGUGGCGAACGGGUGAGUAACACGUGGGUGAUCUGCCCUGUACUUCGGGAUAGGCUUGGGAAACUGGGUCUAAUACCGGAUAUGACGAUCUCUUGGAUGGGGUUGUGGAAAGCUUUUGCGGUAUGGGAUGAGCUCGCGGCCUAUCAGCUUGUUGGUGGGGUAAUGGCCUACCAAGGCGUCGACGGGUAGCCGGCCUGAGAGGGUGUACGGCCACAUUGGGACUGAGAUACGGCCCAGACUCCUACGGGAGGCAGCAGUGGGGAAUAUUGCACAAUGGGCGCAAGCCUGAUGCAGCGACGCCGCGUGGGGGAUGACGGCCUUCGGGUUGUAAACUCCUUUCGCAAUCGACGAAGCCUUUUGGUGACGGUAGGUUGAGAAGAAGCACCGGCUAACUACGUG